GACGAACGCUGGCGGCGUGCCUAAUACAUGCAAGUAGAACGCUGAGGGGGGAGCUUGCUUCUCUGGAUGAGUUGCGAACGGGUGAGUAACGCGUAGGUAACCUGCCUGGUAGCGGGUGAUAAAUAUUGGAAACGAUAGCUCAUACCGCAUAAUAGUAGAUGUUGCAUGACAUUUGCUUAAAAGGUGCAAUUGCAUCACUACCAGAUGGAGCUGCGUCGUAUUAGCUUGUUGGUGGGGUAACGGCUCACCAAGGAGACGAUUCAUAGUCGACCUGGGAGGGGGAACGGGCAACCUGGGAACGAGACACCGCCCAGACUCCCUCGGGAGGCAGCAGGAGGGAAUCUUCGGCAAAUGGCGGAAGGCUGACCGAGCAACGCCGCGGGAGGGGAGAAGGUUCUCGGAUCGGUAAGACCUGGUUUAAGGGAAGAACGAGUUGUGGAGGUGAAAGUGCACACUGUGACGGUAUCUUACCAGAAAGCGACGGCUAACUACGUG
rnacentral:rRNA from 1 species